rnacentral:lncRNA from 1 species
GAUGUCGUUUCUCACAGCGGAAAGCUUUCUAAGGAGAACAAGAAGCAGCUCUCUGACAUGAUGAUGCUGAACAAGCAAAAGGGAGACUUGAAAGCUUUGAGGGAAGAGAAGAGGGGAGGAAAAAGCUGGAAGCCUGUCGAAAUCUUUUCUACUUCCUUCAGACUAGCCUGUAGUUGGGCAAGCUGAUUUUUUCAGAUGCCUAAAAGCAAACGCGCAGAGUUCAUGGAUUUGGUCAUCUCCAUGCUGUGUAACUGUGCAUCCAGUCAAAGAGAGGAAUAUCUGCUGUGUCAGCUUUCCCAAACAGCGCUGCUGGAGGAGAUCAGAUUUGAGUUGUGCCCUGGAACAGAAUGUACAGCUGAAUCUAGAACAGUUGCCAAAGAGGAGUCUGCGGGCAAACGGUGCUGGAUUUUCCAGACGGAGGUCAUAAAGCUUCUUGCCUCCUCACGAAGUGUUCUCAUAUUUUUCUUAAAUAGCAUUGCAUGUUACUGCUGUACUGAGACUUUUAUGACAAAUCCAUUAUCUGUUUCCCAAAGGUGAUGCUGAGAAGCAUGCCUCAUGAUGACUUAUGCAUACCUCAUGUUUCAUAUUAAUUCUUCCUUUGGGUCAAAAGUAGAUCAAAUCCUUGAAACGGCGCUGAAUACCUGUCCCACUGUUAUUAAAAUAGUUCAGCUGUGGUGCCUGUGGUCAGAAUGCCCUGUGGCAGGUCCUGGCACCGGUUGUGAAUGAAAGAACUGAUGACAAAUUGCUUGAUAUUAUGACUGAUCCAGUGGAUAUUUACAAACCUCGGGUGGCCCGGAUGGGAUCUCAGAGUGGUGAGGCCAGGUACGGAAGCUGCUACUACUGUGUUACUUCUAAGAGUUGCUUGGCUGUUUUGCAUUGCUCUUGUGAGAGGUAGAUUGUGUUUUUGCAGUAGAAGCUUCCAGUAUUUUCUGUAUGUAGUAUAGACCUUUACUGAGAUUACAACCCUCUUGUGAAAUAGCUGUUUUCUUUCCACUAAGUAAGUUGCUGAACAGAAUAAAAAGUUAAGAUUUGGGGCA